rnacentral:rRNA from 1 species
GACGGCCGUACCAUACUGAAUAUACCGGUUCUCGUUAGAUCACCGAAGUUAAGCAUCUUGGGCGCGGUCAGUACUUGGGUGGGUGACCACCUGGGAACACUGCGUGCCGUU